AAGAAGAAAGAAAACGUUCUCUUUUGUUUGCUUCUUUUUCCUUGUAUUUUUCCUUUCUCGUUUCUCUUGCUUUUUAAAAUGCUCUCCCUCACAGAAGGAGGGGAGCCACUAUUGUGCAAGAAAGUUCCCUGUUGACUUGCAGCAACAUAGAAGGGCAGUAAAGCUUUGCUCACAUGCUGAGGGGUGACUCUAUUGGCUGAGGGGUGAUUCUAGUUCAGGACUCAGGCUGAGAUACAAGAAGGUAAAAGUUCCUAAUGUCAUAAAACAAAAUUACAACAAGUUUAGUAAGAUCUUAAUUGGCUUUUAUUUGUGAUUCUAGAAUCAGACAAUUCAGAAUCUGCCCCAUUCUAUAAAGUAAAAAGAGUGCUGUGAUGAGCUGGGCAGAGGAGGGUGGUUUUGCAGACAAAAGCUGAGCAAAGCAGAAACACAACAGGUUCCUGUUGAGCCAGAAACCCAUCUCUGAGUCUGUCACUGGGAGAAUGGGAUGCUCCUUUGGACUGGUCCUGAGUUACAUACCCAUCUGGGACAACAGGACUUGCUAUGGGGACAGCUUCACCUGUACAUGGACGGAGACUGAAGAAUGAAGGUUGGAUUGAAGCCUUCCCCACCUCCUGGGAGACAGCAGACACGGUGGCCUCCCUCCUUACUCAAGAAAUCAACCCUCGCUUCGGCCCACCUGCCACCAUCCAGUUGGACAACGGUCCAGCAUUUACGGCCCAAGUAGUCCAGCUAGUCACCAAGUCCCUCAACAUCUCCCGGAAACUGCACAUCCCUUACCAUCCUCAGUCGUCGGGAAGCACUUGGACUGCACCCUCCCUGUUGUUCCAGGACCAGAAGACCCCCACCCAGUGACGCCUCUCUGACCAGGCGACAGCGUUCUCCUCUGAGAGCUCGAACCAGGAUCUUUGCAGCCCAGGAAUCCUGGACUGAGGGCCCCACCACCAGGACCCAUUAUCUUGCACAGGCAAACUGCCAAACAGGUGGCUGUCAGUCUACUGUCUCCAUCCUCAUCCCACACGGUAAAAGCGCCGGACUUGGUCGCGAUCAUGGGUUUCACUUUCGGCACAGGCUGUGUUUUCUAUAUGACCAAACCAAGGACUACUGUCAUUGGUGGAACACCACCUACGGGGGGUGCCCAUACAGCUCUUGUGUUAUUCACAAGCCACAGCCUCCAAGCCGUCCCAGUCACAUGCUCACUCUCUUCAGCAGUGGUUCCUUAGCCCUCAACAUCUGCGACCCCUGGCACAGCCGCUGGGAUGCAGGAGUGUCCGGUAAAGGCUAUGAAGAUUAUACCCGGCACCACCUUAACAGCUAAAAGUGUACAGACAAGCCGAGCUCCUAUCCCUCAUCGCACCCUCCCCUAAUCACCGAAGCAAAGGAGCUGUCUUCCUCCCAAUAGUGGUUGGCCUCUCCUCAGCAUCCUCUCUAGCAGCGGCUGGAAUAGGAAGCAGCACCCUGGGCUACACUGUCACUUUAGCCACUCAACUGGAAGACAAGCUCCAAGUGGCCAUUGAAGCGUCAGCACCUCCCUGGCCUCCCUCCAAAUCACAUCACUGGCCCAGGUAACUCUCCAAAACCAAUGGGCCUUGACCUACUAAUGGCGGAAAAAGGAGGUACCUGUCUGUUUCUUCAGGAACAGUGCUACUACAUCAAUGAAACAGGCCUUGUAGAAGAGCAUGUCAACACUCUCUAUUGCCUCCAAGAAGACCUCCGAAAGAAACAGAAUGCACCAGCUUCGUCUCUCAACUGGUGGCAAUCCCCCAUGCUUACCUGGCUAACCCCUAUCAUUGCUCCCAUUAUCGUAAUUUGUCUUUCGCUAAUGCUAGCCCCCUUUUUCCUCACGUUUUUACAGGCCCACAUGAAAGAAAUUUCCAGGGUGGCCGUAAACUAGAUGCUGCUUCACCCCUCUGUCCGACUCCCAACCGAGGUACCAGACAACUGACCCCUCCCCCUGACUCCACCCCUAUUCAGCAGGAAGUAGCCAGAAAGAAGCGGCGUCCUAUAUCAUCGAAAGGGUUGAAAUGUAAGGCCGGUUGCCUUGCCAGGAGCUCGGACACGCCCAUCCCUCUACGCGCUUGAAAACUACGUCACCACUCCCCGCUCGACAUCAAGCUCUGCACUCGGCACCUAGCCCGCAGUUGGAAAACCCUGCCAAAAUUUAAAAGAAGCCCUGCCAAAACCUGCCCAACAGCAUUUUGCCCUGUCUAGGUCCCACUCCCCCUGGGCAGCUCGCUCGCUGGAAAUCCUGCCUACCUACCAACGGCAGCUUGCCCCAUCCCCAUCCAAGUCCUGUUCCCUCAUAGCCAAUCAGGAUAUCCUCACUCGCUAUAAAACCCCACACCUCAGGAAGUCAGGUACGACUUCCCUGGCCCCUUUACCCGGGACCAUGGAACCAUGCCCGGGAGCUAAAUAAAUUGGCAUUUAAUUUCCUUUACUGGCCUCAGUUUCCUCAUUUUAAACUCGGCAAUAACCCUUACAAGACAAUAACCCUUACAAGUGGUGCCGAAACCUGGGAGGAGUUGUAAGACCCCUCCUCAGGGAAACUGACUCUUCCACCCGAAGCCCA